rnacentral:rRNA from 1 species
AUGGCUCAGGACGAACGCUGGCGGCGUGCCUAAUACAUGCAAGUAGAACGCUGAAGAGAGGAGCUUGCUCUUCUUGGAUGAGUUGCGAACGGGUGAGUAACGCGUAGGUAACCUGCCUUGUAGCGGGGGAUAACUAUUGGAAACGAUAGCUAAUACCGCAUAACAAUGGAUGACACAUGUCAUUUAUUUGAAAGGGGCAAUUGCUCCACUACAAGAUGGACCUGCGUUGUAUUAGCUAGUAGGUGAGGUAAUGGCACACCUAGGCGACGAUACAUAGCCGACCUGAGAGGGUGAUCGGCCACACUGGGACUGAGACACGGCCCAGACUCCUACGGGAGGCAGCAGUAGGGAAUCUUCGGCAAUGGGGGCAACCCUGACCGAGCAACGCCGCGUGAGUGAAGAAGGUUUUCGGAUCGUAAAGCUCUGUUGUAAGUCAAGAACGGGUGUGAGAGUGGAAAGUUCACACUAUGACGGUAGCUUACCAGAAAGGGACGGCUAACUACGUGCCAGCAGCCGCGGUAAUACGUAGGUCCCGAGCGUUGUCCGGAUUUAUUGGGCGUAAAGCGAGCGCAGGCGGUUUGAUAAGUCUGAAGUUAAAGGCUGUGGCUCAACCAUAGUUCGCUUUGGAAACUGUCAAACUUGAGUGCAGAAGGGGAGAGUGGAAUUCCAUGUGUAGCGGUGAAAUGCGUAGAUAUAUGGAGGAACACCGGUGGCGAAAGCGGCUCUCUGGUCUGUAACUGACGCUGAGGCUCGAAAGCGUGGGGAGCGAACAGGAUUAGAUACCCUGGUAGUCCACGCCGUAAACGAUGAGUGCUAGGUGUUGGAUCCUUUCCGGGAUUCAGCGCCGCAGCUAACGCAUUAAGCACUCCGCCUGGGGAGUACGACCGCAAGGUUGAAACUCAAAGGAAUUGACGGGGGCCCGCACAAGCGGUGGAGCAUGUGGUUUAAUUCGAAGCAACGCGAAGAACCUUACCAGGUCUUGACAUCCCGAUGCUAUUUCUAGAGAUAGAAAGUUACUUCGGUACAUCGGUGACAGGUGGUGCAUGGUUGUCGUCAGCUCGUGUCGUGAGAUGCUGGGUUAAGUCCCGCAACGAGCGCAACCCCUAUUGUUAGUUGCCAUCAUUCGGUUGGGCACUCUAGCGAGACUGCCGGUAAUAAACCGGAGGAAGGUGGGGAUGACGUCAAAUCAUCAUGCCCCUUAUGACCUGGGCUACACACGUGCUACAAUGGUUGGUACAACGAGUUGCGAGUCGGUGACGGCGAGCUAAUCUCUUAAAGCCAAUCUCAGUUCGGAUUGUAGGCUGCAACUCGCCUACAUGAAGUCGGAAUCGCUAGUAAUCGCGGAUCAGCACGCCGCGGUGAACACGUUCCCGGGCCUUGUACACACCGCCCGUCACACCACGAGAGUUUGUAACACCCGAAGUCGGUGAGGUAACCUUUUGGAGCCAGCCGCCUAAGGUGGGACAGAUGA